AGGGGGGGGGGGCCUUAUACAUGCAAGUCGAGCGGACUUCAGGGAGCUUGCUCCCUGAAGUCAGCGGCGGACGGGAGAGUAACACGUGGGCAACCUGCCUGUAAGACUGGGAUAACUCCGGGAAACCGGGGCUAAUACCGGAUAACUCUUUUCCUCACAUGAGGAAAAGCUGAAAGAUGGCAUCUCGCUAUCACUUACAGAUGGGCCCGCGGCGCAUUAGCUAGUUGGUGAGGUAACGGCUCACCAAGGCCACGAUGCGUAGCCGACCUGAGAGGGUGAUCGGCCACACUGGGACUGAGACACGGCCCAGACUCCUACGGGAGGCAGCAGUAGGGAAUCUUCCGCAAUGGACGAAAGUCUGACGGAGCAACGCCGCGUGAGUGAUGAAGGUUUUCGGAUCGUAAAACUCUGUUGUCAGGGAAGAACAAGUACCGGAGUAACUGCCGGUACCUUGACGGUACCUGACCAGAAAGCCACGGCUAACUACGUGCCAGCAGCCGCGGUAAUACGUAGGUGGCAAGCGUUGUCCGGAAUUAUUGGGCGUAAAGCGCGCGCAGGCGGUUCCUUAAGUCUGAUGUGAAAGCCCCCGGCUCAACCGGGGAGGGUCAUUGGAAACUGGGGAACUUGAGUGCAGAAGAGAAGAGUGGAAUUCCACGUGUAGCGGUGAAAUGCGUAGAGAUGUGGAGGAACACCAGUGGCGAAGGCGACUCUUUGGUCUGUAACUGACGCUGAGGCGCGAAAGCGUGGGGAGCAACAGGAUUAGAUACCCUGGUAGUCCACGCCGUAAACGAUGAGUGCUUAGUGUUAGAAGGCUUUCCCGCCCUUUAGUGCUUGCAGACAAAAGCCGCCAUGGUAAGAGCACCUCCCGGCCCC
rnacentral:rRNA from 1 species